UAGAAUUCCACGUGUAGCAGUGAAAUGCGUAGAGAUGUGGAGGAAUACCGAUGGCGAAGGCAGCCUCCUGGGAUAACAUUGACGUUCAUGCUCGAAAGCGUGGGUAGCAAACAGGAUUAGAUACCCUGGUAGUCCACGCCCUAAACGAUGACAAUUAGCUGUUGGGACACUAGAUGUCUUAGUAGCGAAGCUAACGCGUGAAAUUGUCCGCCUGGGGAGUACGGUCGCAAGAUUAAAACUCAAAGGAAUUGACGGGGACCCGCACAAGCGGUGGAUGAUGUGGAUUAAUCCGAUGCAACGCGAAGAACCUUACCUGGUCUUGACAUGUACGGAAUCUCUUAGAGAUAGGAGAGUGCCUUCGGGAACCGUAACACAGGUGCUGCAUGGCUGUCGUCAGCUCGUGUCGUGAGAUGUUGGGUUAAGUCCCGCAACGAGCGCAACCCUUGUCAUUAGUUGCCAUCAUUAAGUUGGGCACUCUAAUGAGACUGCCGGUGAUAUGCCGGAGGAAGGUGGGGAUGACGUCAAGUCCUCAUGGCCCUUAUGACCAGGGCUUCACACGUCAUACAAUGGUCGGUACAGAGGGUAGCGAAGCCGCGAGGUGAAGCCAAUCUCAGAAAGCCGAUCGUAGUCCGGAUUGCACUCUGCAACUCGAGUGCAUGAAGUCGGAAUCGCUAGUAAUCGCAGGUCAGCAUAC
rnacentral:rRNA from 2 species